CGGAGCCCCCUGACACAGCUCCCCCCGGGGCUGCCACAGGGCAGUGGCCAGCCCCAUUUUCAGGGAGUGAGCCCCACCAGGUCUGAACUGGCUGUUCAAAGUGACCACACGAAACAUCACUGUAAAAGAUGUAGGACAAAAAAAGGAUCGUUCACUUUAGCACUGGACAAUUUAUGACUUUGACUUCAGUAAACCUGGCAGAACUCAAGAUCUUGUAAAUGCAAUCAACUCAGUAAAAACACAUGAACUCUACUCAU